AUUGAACGCUGGCGGCAGGCUUAACACAUGCAAGUCGAACGAGUGGCGGAAGGGUGAGUAAUGCUUGGGAAUCUGGCUGAUGGAGGGGGAUAACGACGGGAAACUGUCGCUAAUACCGCGUACCAUAGGAUGAGCCCAAGUGGGAUUAGGUAGUUGGUGGGGUAAUGGCCGACCAAGCCGACGAUCUCUAGCUGGUCUGAGAGGAUGACCAGCCACACCGGGACUGAGACACGGCCCGGACUCCUACGGGAGGCAGCAGUGGGGAAUAUUGCGCAAUGGGGGCAACCUGACGCAGCCAUGCCGCGUGUGUGAAGAAGGCCUUCGGGUUGUAAAGGACUUUUGUCAGGAAGACGGUACCUGAAGAAUAAGCACCGGCUAACUACGUGCCAGCAGCCGCGGUAAUUC
rnacentral:rRNA from 1 species